rnacentral:rRNA from 1 species
AGUGAACGCUGGCGGUAGGCCUAACACAUGCAAGUCGAACGGCAGCACAGGAGAGCUUGCUCUCUGGGUGGCGAGUGGCGGACGGGUGAGGAAUACAUCGGAAUCUGCCCAGUCGUGGGGGAUAACGUUGGGAAACUUACGCUAAUACCGCAUACGACCUUCGGGUGAAAGAGGGGGAUCGCAAGACCUCUCGCGAUUGGAUGAGCCGAUGUCGGAUUAGCUAGUUGGCGGGGUAAUGGCCCACCAAGGCGACGAUCCGUAGCUGGUCUGAGAGGAUGAUCAGCCACACUGGAACUGAGACACGGUCCAGACUCCUACGGGAGGCAGCAGUGGGGAAUAUUGGACAAUGGGCGCAAGCCUGAUCCAGCCAUACCGCGUGGGUGAAGAAGGCCUUCGGGUUGUAAAGCCCUUUUGUUGGGAAAGAAAUCUUUCAGGCUAAUACCCUGGGAGGAUGACGGUACCCAAAGAAUAAGCACCGGCUAACUUCGUG